rnacentral:rRNA from 1 species
CCCUUAGAUGUCCGGGGCCGCACGCGCGCUACACUGAAGGAAUCAGCGUGGCUUUCUCCCUGACCCGAAAGGGUUGGGAAACCCGUUGAAUCUCCUUCGUGAUAGGGAUUGGGGCUUGAAAUUGUCCCCCAUGAACGAGGAAUUCCCAGUAAGCGCGAGUCAUAAGCUCGCGUUGAUUACGUCCCUGCCCUUUGUACACACCGCCCGUCGCUACUACCGAUUGAACGGUUUAGUGAGGGCCUCGGAUUGGUCUCGGCCCGCUCUUUACCGGGCGGCGCCGUUGGUCGAGAAGACGCUCGAACUUGAUCGUUUAGAGGAAGUAAAAGUCGUAACA